UAUCUCUGUAGAGUCUGCAUAUCAAUAAGCGGAGGAAAAGAAACUAACUAGGAUUCCCUCAGUAACGGCGAGUGAAGCGGGAAGAGCUCAAAUUUGAAAUCUUCAAGGUUCUACCUUGACGAAUUGUAGUUUAAAGAAGUGUUUUCUGUUGGAGUUUUGGUAAAAGUUCUUUGGAAUAGGACAUCAUAGAGGGUGAGAAUCCCGUAUUUGACCAUUAUUUCCAGCUUUGUGAUACACUUUCAAAGAGUCGGAUUGUUUGGGAAUGCAGUCCAAAAUGGGUGGUAAAUUUCAUCUAAAGCUAAAUAUUGGCGAGAGACCGAUAGCGAACAAGUACCGUGAGGGAAAGAUGAAAAGAACUUUGAAAAGAGAGUUAAACAGUACGUGAAAUUGUCAAAAGGGAAGCGUUUGACACCAGUGUUGUUUUCUCGAAAAUCAAUUAAAAAUGGCUUGAUUUUGUGUUGUAUUGACCUUAAAAGCUUUCUUCACUUUUUUCAUGUCUUUUUUAAUGCACUUUUCGUUUAACAAGUCAACAUCAGUUUCUUUUGUUGUAAAAAGGUCAUUGGAAGGUGGCUUUCUUUUCGGAGAAAGUGUUUAUAGCCUUUGACUUCUGCAAUCGGAGAGACUGAGGUCUGCAGCGUAGAUCCUUCUGGAUUAGAUUCAUUUGUGCUAAGUUACAACCGUUUAUAGACAACUUGUUGACUAUAUUCGAUCCUGUAGCUUACUCGCUUAUGUAAUUUUACCUACGCUUAGGAUGUUGAAGAUGUAGCACAUCAU
rnacentral:rRNA from 1 species